rnacentral:misc_RNA from 1 species
AGUCGGCAGUGGCCAGUGGAUUAGCGUGGUGGCAUCUCGACGUCGUGCGCGGACGUGACUCGGCCAAGGAACGAGCGUGCGGAUUAAAAUGGCGUAGCGACCGCGACUCGGUUCGGUAAGCGCGCGCGAGGAUUUGCAUCAGCCCGGGUGAAUCCGCAGUCGGAGGGUCGCGACGCGGCGCAGAUCGUCGGUGAGUAACCGAAGCCGUCGGCUCGGCCAGGCUUCGGAGUGCGCGGAUCUUCGGAAGCCGAGCUCCUCCUCGAUCCUCGUGGCGCUCUGCUGCCACGCGUGACAAGUGGCUCUGCCAUCCGGAGGAGGUUUGUCGCGCGGUCCGGCCCGGGCGUAAUGCCGAGGUGCACGGGGACCCAGAGAUUCGCCUCGUGACAGCUUGGCGACCUUCGCUCGACCGCGAGAUGGCGCCACCGGCGGCGACGGCGGCGGCGCCGGUCGCGCUCUGACCGAUCCCCGACCGCCCGCGGCCUGGUGACCGCGUCAGCUGGAUUUUUCGCGGACGGCGCAACGGGGGUGGACCUUUAUUAUGAGCAGAGAAUUCUACGUUCCCUGCACGCCCUACGCAUACCCGCAGUGCAGCAGCGGCCUGACGGAAGGCGCCGUGGUGAGCGUCGGAGGUGGCAUGGACUGCAUGCCCCUGCGUCCCGGGCCGUUCCACUACCUGAUAAGCGAGCAGGCGAAGUCGCUGGUGGCCCUCCAGGAGUUGCAGAAUGAGGUGGGCGCCCUCCUCGAGUUCCGGGACCUCGUCAUCGAGACGUUCCCAAACCUCCGGCACAAGAUGGCCGCCUCGGCGUCCACGUCCGCGUCCGUGACGGCAUCAGCGCCGACCUCCCAGGUGCCGCUUCCGCUCUCGAGCCCGUCCUCCAGGAGGAUCGCCGAGUGGGAGCCGGGGAAGGUGAGGCGGCGCGCCGCCCGGGAGGGCGAGACCUCUUCGGGGUCCUCGCUGCCGAGGAGUCGCAGCAACUCGCACAGCGGAGGCAACAAGAACAGCGCCACCGUCCAGGACUCGGGCUUCAGCACCGAGACGUCCUCCAAGGACAGCGCCUCCACGGCCAUCCCGAGGCCGGCGAGUCCCAGACAAGUCCUGGACGAGGCCGAGGACGAGCUAUGGAACCUGCUGGACGUGAUCCACCGGAAAGGCGUACGGCUCCGGGAGGAGGUCGAGUCCCUUCAGGGUCGGCUGGAGAGCGCGGCCCCGGAGGAGCUGAGGGUGUCCGGGGACGCGCUGGAGGCCGCCCGGAAGACCAUCCGGACCGAGGGGGCCGGCGACGACGUCUCCGAGGAGUCGAACCGGGCCCAGGUGGCGGCGCUCCGCAGGGAGAAGGAGCAGCUCCUGGACAAGGUUGCCGAGCUGGAGGCAGAGACCCUGUCGAGUCGGGCCCGAGCUCAGGAGCUGCAGACAGAGCUGGCGGCUCUGUCCGCCCUGAGGAACGGCCUGGAGGACCGGCUCCGAGCCGGGCUGGAGGUCUUCGCCCCCGGGGCUCAACGGGCGCAGCCGCCGGCUGCCGUGCCCGCGUCCUCGCCAAAGGGCGGCGUCAACAUCAGGAGCAAGACCUCCGCCUUCGCUUCCGUGGUCUCCAACAAGGCCCAUAAGAACAGGUUUAGGACGAGGACCAUAGAGAGGAACGUCCUGGCGAACCUGACCCUCCCGCACGAAGCCGAGGUCGAUGUGGAGGCCGGCGUCAACGAGAGGAGGGCGCGGCUGGGGGCGCUGGACUCGGUUCUGGUGUCACCCACCAGGGUGGCGAGAGUCAAAGAUGUCGACUCCACCAAGAUUGCCGCCAUCUUGCGGGAACACUCACCUCUCGAGCUCCAGAGGCACCUAAUCACGACCACCGUCCAUAAUCAGGUCCUUCAGAAGCGAUUGGACGAAGUACAGAAGAGCACGGAAACCCUCUCGGAGAAACUGGACAAGGUUCGCGACGAGAACGACGACCUGCGGUUCCAGCUAGACGAGAGAAACAUCGAGCUAGAGGGAACCCGCGCGAGAGUCAGGGUACUGGAGCGACUUCAGCAACGAGCUCCCACGGAGACGGAGCCAGAGCUGGAGUCGGAGCAGCCUAGAUGCGAGCAGAGCGGUCUCGAGCCCGGAAGUAGCACGGAGUCGGCCCGGGACCACCAUCAGGCCAUCGAGGUGAAGCCGUCCCCCCGACGUCGCCCUAGUCGAAUCCCGCUUCCCGGGACCAAGGCUGCCGCCCCGAAGCCUCCGACUCACGGGAGACACGACAGCAAGGAGUCGCUCAAGUCCCUGACGAGGCCUCCCCGGGACUCUAGUCGAGACAGCCUCGGAGGCAAGUCGCUGUCCAAGGCCCGCGACUCCAGCAGGGAGUCGCUGACGAAGAGCCUACAGAAGGGGCCCAAGGACACCAGCCGAGAAUCCCUGACGACCGCGACGGGGACGACGACGACGAACAAGUCGUUGCCGCGCAAUAAUUCCAGUCGAGACUCCCUAAACAAAUCCUCCUCGCUGUCCCGCACCCGAGACUCGCUGGAGUCCGGCAACCCGGGGACCUCCUCCGGGACUCCUCCUCGGCGACCACCUGCUCCUGCUCGCCGAUCCCACAGUCUAGCCCGACCUCCCGUCGAUACCGACACCAGCAAGGUACGACCCGUAAGGCACUUCUUCUGGAACCUGCUGAAGUCACCCCUGUCUAACGGUCAGACCUAGUAGAGCCGGGCCUAACGCUCUUUAGAGAUACGUAGCCGCUUCUAACCUCGACCCUCCCCGUGACCCACCCCACGGGUCAGCCGAGGCGCCGCUACCGCCGCUAGUACCGCAACGACUACUUCUUCCUCCGUUGAUAACACCCUAGCAGCAAGGACCCAGCUCUUAACGUGCCACCCUAACCUCCGUUUCAACCCCGUCCCCUCUUCCCGUCCCUCCGACCUCGCAAGUAACACGGUAACGUAUCCAUUCUACCGCUACUCUGCUACUUUCGUCUCGGAUGGCGAAGACUCGGCAGCCGGCUUCGACUAAACGCCGCCCCGAAUCCCGAGGUCCCGAUCCUCGUCCGCAGCUCCCCGUGACCAUCCAGGAUUAACUCGAGGCGCCAGUGCGCGAGCGCCGAGGACCCCGAGGAGCCGGGCCCACCCUGAAGACACCGUCCUCCGGCCGCUUGUGGACUGGCGACUUCCGUCUCUCUAUCUCUCAGUUCUGUCACUCUUCCGUUUUGUACACACGCCUCUACCGACCGAUAUCGAGAUGCUGGACCGACGAUCCGACAGUCGCAUCGACCGCUCGUUGUCGUAUCCGACGACCGACCGACCGCCCGAACCAACCGAAAGUCCGAUCUGGAGCGCAGGCGAGCGUGCGUUCGAAACAGGCCCCUCCGCGCGUCCGUCGGUUUCUCGGAUUCACCGGUCCUCCGAGUUCCUGGUGCUCGACGAGUGGGAGCUUCCGGCACAGCGAUUCGUCCUUGUACCCGGACUCG